UCUAUGCUAUUACCUCUCAUGAGGUUCAAUCCUUCCCACAAACGUUUGUGCCUCAAGAACACAGCAAGUUGUCAACAGCUCAUAAAGCAUAUGGAAAUGUGGGUUGUCAUUUUCAUAGACAAAUUGUUGAUUCCUUUCAAGCACCGUUUGGAAACACUAACGGAAAGCAUACACAAUUGGACAGGUGGCAGCCCAGUGCCUGUUCCAGUAAGUUCUUUAGAGAGUACAGAUCUAUCAGUCGGACUAUUAGUUUGUCCUUUCUGCUGUGACUACCAGUCAAAGUCUUUGUUCGGCUGUUUGAGCCUUGGAUACAGGUGACUCACACCUCCCCACCUUUGCAAAGGCAAAAACGCAGCAUUCAGGCACAAGAUUACCAUACUGAACAGGUGUGCAAGUGAGCAAGUGCUGACACGAUGUGGGCAGGACUGCCGGGAAGAAACUGUACCAGGACUGCAGAGGGGAGUCGCUGGAAAAAAAAAAAGGACACUCAUGAACGGAGUUGUUGACGUGGAUCAAAUCUCCUGUUAAGGUCGCAGCAUGUCACAUCCGCACCUUCUAAAUGUGUCCUCCGUGUUAUUGUCAAAUUCAAAGAAUUCCAACAGCAACAACAAACACUACAGCUGUAAAGAAGUAUGUCUUUGAGGAGGGCUGAUUUCCUCUGUUUGUUUUCAGGCAGAGGGAAAGGCAUCUCUGCGAGCCUGAGACUUGCACGGUCUGUAGGUCUCUUGAAGGCCAGGGGUGGGAGAGCGCUGUAGUGUUCUCAUCCAUUAUGCUUUUCCCACCAUUCUUGUGUGCAUGGGAGAGGAAGAGGGAGCAAACAUUCAUAAGGGUUUCUUACUUUCCCAGGCAUUCCUGGUUAGAUGUAAGAGACACACUGGCAUUCAUAUCUACUGACCUCAAGACUACAAAGAUAAGACAUUUUCAGGUAAUUUUCUCAUAUUCUAAUGAUCCUCUUCGAAAAUGGAUGUAUUUUGGGCUUCAAAGCACAAUUGCGUUAUAUGACAAGUCAAUAUUUCAAACCAAACCUCAACUAUGAAUUAAGCAAAUCCAUCUAAAAUAAUAUAAUCAAAUUAGAAUAAAGACAACUGUUAUAAGAUAAAACAAAUAUUUAAAAAGAAAAAAUUUCAUUAGACUAACAAAAUUAAGCUUUUCAGUAGUUGAUGCAACAGCAAGAUCCCUCAAAACCACACAAGCAACAUUUGAACAUGGUUCUAGCAGCUGACAAAUGGCCCUUUCCGAUGAUUACUGUCAACACCAGAGAGAUAAACAUACAAACAAAGAAAUAUAUUUGCUUAAAGCAAAAACUUACAAAAGUAUUACCAAAAAGUCCAAACCCCAAAACAGAAACAUUUAAGUAUUUACUAGAAAUGCAAUUUUUUCUUCUUUUUUUUUAAAGUCUGAAAUAUAAAAAACUGAAAAGCACUUUGAACUGAUCAGUGUGAUCGGCUCUUAAGAGUGAACUGACAUUCUCAAAUGAUGUUUAUUUUAAAAUUGUGAAUAAAUACAUUCUCUAUAACAUUUAUUCACAUUCAGACAUUUUUUAGCAAUAUUUACCUUUAAAAAGUUACUCAAAUAUAUCGGAACAUACUGUACAAUAGGGUUGUCACAAUACCAUAAAUGUAUGUCACAAUACUAUAGCAGCUGAAGUGUCAUGAUACCAAGUAGUAUUCAGAUACUGUAAUUUAUAACUCAAAUUUAUGAAAUGAAGCAAACUGUCCGAAAUAUUAUAUUUUAUAUGUUAUAAUUCUUAUAUUUUACUAUUAAUUUAACAAAAAAAUAUUAUUUGUGUUAUUUGACAUUUGCUGUUUUAUUUAGUGACAUUUCCACAUGCAGAAUUAACCUUUGUGGAACCAUUAAUGAAGAUACUACCAUUUACAAACUACAGUGACAUCAGUAUUUCUUACGGUACUACCAUAGUAUCAGUAAACCAUGCAACUCUACUAUAGAAAAUGUGCAUUACCCAGUAACUCAUUAAGUUAAAAUGGUCAUUGGGUAAUGGCUAUAUUCUGUCCAUUUAUCUCAAUCUAUUACUUGUAUAAAACAUUACAAAAUGUCAUAAAUCACCAAACUUCACCAGCAAUCACAAAGAAAAGGUUAAGCUUCAACAGUGCAGUAUUCAAAACUUCACUUUUUUCUGGAUAAUAUUCCAAUGAAUAAAGGUCAUUGUUUUCAUACCCUACUUUAUUAUCAGGACCCUCAACCUUCAGCUACUGUCAAAACCUUUGAUGAAUUGGUAGACAGUCUCUCUGAACACAACAUAGAUUACACUAACCAAAUAUUGACCUGGCAAGACCCUGCCAAACAGACAGCCCUCCAGUUCCCAAGCAAAGCAAAUGGUAUCCUUUCAUCACUUAAAUGCUAAACUCGCAUUAAUCUUAAGCAAGCAUUCAGUUUAACCAUUCAUUCAAAUCCAAUGUGAAGAAAUCUUAAAGCCAGCACAUGUGAAACCAUCAGAAAUGUGAAACCAUCAGAAAACCUUAAAUCUCAGCUCAGUUCUUACCUUUCUGGCAGUGGUUAGAGGUC
rnacentral:lncRNA from 1 species